AGCGAACGCUGGCGGCAGGCUUAACACAUGCAAGUCGAGCGCCCGUAGCAAUACGGGAGCGGCAGACGGGAGAGUAACACGUGGGAACAUGCCCUUCGGUUCGGAAUAACUCAGGGAAACUUGAGCUAAUACCGGAUACGUCCGUAAGGAGAAAGAUUUAUCGCCGAAGGAUUGGCCCGCGUCCGAUUAGCUUGUUGGUGAGGUAACGGCUCACCAAGGCGACGAUCGGUAGCGGUCUGAGAGGAUGAUCAGCCUCACUGGGACUGAGACACGGCCCAGACUCCUACGGGAGGCAGCAGUGGGGAAUA
rnacentral:rRNA from 1 species